rnacentral:tRNA from 1 species
GAGGGUAUAGCUCAGAAGUAGAGUGCAGAUGCCUGAAGUCCUGGGUUCAAUCCCCAGUACCUCCG